CCUACGGGCGGCAGCAGUGGGGAAUAUUGCACAAUGGGGGAAACCCUGAAGCAGCGACGCCGCGUGAGUGAAGAAGGAUUUCGGUAUGUAAAGCUCUAUCAGCAGGGAAGAAAACGACGGCACGUGAUUAAGAAGCCCCGUCUAACUACGUGCCAGACGCCGCGGUAAUACGUAGGGGGCAAGCGUUAUCCGGAUUGACUGGAUGUAAAGGGAGCGUAGACGGCAGCGCAAGUCUGAAGUGAAAUGCCGGGGCUUAACCCCGGAACUGCUUUGGAAACUGUGCAGCUAGCGUGCAGGAGAGGUAAGUGGAAUUCGUGGUGUAGCGGUGAAAUGCGUAGAUAUUAGGAGGAACACCGGUGGCGAAGGCGGCUUACUGGACUGUAACUGACGUUGAGGCUCGGAAGCGUGGGGAGCAAACAGGAUUAGAUACCCUAGUAGUC
rnacentral:rRNA from 1 species